AGAAUUUGAUCCUGGUUCAGAUUGAAUGCUGACAGCGUGGAUGAGGCAUGCAAGUCGUACGAAGUAGCAAUACUUAGUGGCGGAAGGGUUAGUAAUACAUGGGUAAUCUACCUCUAACAAUGGGAUAACGGUUGGAAACGACCGCUAAUACCACAUGUGGUGUUUAUUAGGCAUCUAGAAAACAUUAAAGCAGGGGACCGUAAGGCCUUGCGGUUAGAGAAGAGCCCAUGCGAUAUCAGCUAGUUGGUGAGGUAAUGGCUCACCAAGGCUAAGACGUCUAGGAGGAUUGAGAGAUCGACCUCCAACACUGGGACUGAGACACUGUCCAGACUCCUACGGGAGGCUGCAGUCGAGAAUCUUUCGCAAUGGGCGAAAGCCUGACGAAGCGACGCCGUGUGAGUGAUGAAGGCCUUCGGGUUGUAAAACUCUUUCGCUUAGGAACAAGAGAAGUCGAUUAAUACUCGGCUAAUUUGAGAGUACUAGGUAAAGAAGCACCGGCUAACUACGUGCCAGCAGCUGCGGUAAUACGUAGGGUGCAAGCAUUAAUCGGAUUUAUUGGGCGUAAAGGGGGCGCAGGCGGCAAAGUAAGUGGGAUGUGAAAUCCCGGGGCUCAACCCCGGACCCGCAUUCCAAACUACUUUACUAGAGGAUAGGCGGAGAAAACGGAAUUCCACAUGUAGCGGUGAAAUGCGUAGAUAUGUGGAAGAACACCUGUGGAAAAGCGGUUUUCUAGCUUAUUCCUGACGCUCAUGCCCGAAAGCUAGGGGAGCAAACAGGAUUAGAUACCCUGGUAGUCCUAGCCGUAAACUAUGUAUACUUGGUGUAGUCGGACUCAACCCUGACUGUGCCGUAACUAACGUGUUAAGUAUACCGCCUGGGGAGUACGUUCGCAAGGGUGAAACUCAAAAGAAUUGACGGGUACCCGCACAAGCAGUGGAGUAUGUGGUUUAAUUCGAUGCAACGCGAAGAACCUCACCCAGAUUUGACAUGCAGUAGACAGUCACAGAAAUGUGAUCUUCCUUCGGGACUGCUGCACAGGUGCUGCAUGGCUGUCGUCAGCUCGUGCCGUGAGGUGUUGGGUUAAGUCCCGCAACGAGCGCAACCCCUGUCGUUAGUUGCCAACAUUUAAGGUGGGAACUCUAGCGAGGCUGCCUGGGUUAACCAGGAGGAAGGCGGGGAUGACGUCAAGUCCGCAUGGCCCUUAUAUCUGGGGCUACACACGUACUACAAUGGUCGGUACAAUAGGCAGCAAAGCCGCGAGGUAGAGCAAAUCCAAAAAACCGAUCCCAGUUCGGAUUGAAGUCUGCAACUCGACUUCAUGAAGUUGGAAUUGCUAGCAAUGGCGUGUCAGCAAUAACGCCGUGAAUACGUUCCCGGGUCUUGUACACACCGCCCGUCACAUCAUGGAAGUUAGUUUCACCCGAAGUCCCUGACUCAACCGCAAGGGGAGAAGGGCCUAAGGUGAGGCUGAUGACUGGGAUGAAGUCGUAACAAGGUA
rnacentral:rRNA from 1 species